UGCCUUUUUGUGUUGCCCGCUUAAUUCUUUAUUAUAGCUAAGUGUGGUGUCAAAAAAGGCAUAAAAUAAUUUCAGCUGUUCCAGCCAUUCUGAUGUUGUUGUACGUCAGUAUAAUGUGAUUCGGCUGAAACACAG